UACAGAGGGGGCGAGCGUUAUUCGGAAUUAUUGGGCGUAAAGGGCGCGUAGGCGGCCCGGUAAGUCAAAGGUGAAAUCCCUCGGCUCAACUGAGGAACUGCCUUUGAAACUGUUGGGCUCGAGGGCGGGAGGGGUUGGCGGAAUUCCCAGUGUAGCGGUGAAAUGCGCAGAUAUCAGGAGGAACACCGGUGGCGAAGGCGGCAUCCUGGACCGGCAUUGACGCUGAGGCGCGAAGGCCAGGGGAGCAAACGGG
rnacentral:rRNA from 1 species